GACGAAUGCUGGCGGCGUGCUUAACACAUGCAAGUCGAACGGUGAAGGGGAGCUUGCUCCCUGGAUCAGUGGCGAACGGGUGAGUAACACGUGGGCAACCUGCCCCUCACUUCGGGAUAACCAUUCGAAAGGAUGGCUAAUACCGGAUAUGAGCCCUGGAGACAUCUCUGGGGUUGGAAAGUUUUUCGGUGAGGGAUGGGCCCGCGGCCUAUCAGCUUGUUGGUGAGGUAACGGCUCACCAAGGCGAAGACGGGUAGCCGGCCUGAGAGGGCGACCGGCCACACUGGGACUGAGACAUGGCCCAGACUCCUACGGGAGGCAGCAGUGGGGAAUAUUGCACAAUGGGCGCAAGCCUGAUGCAGCGACGCCGCGUGAGGGAUGAAGGCCUUCGGGUUGUAAACCUCUUUCAGUAGGGACGAAGCGCAAGUGACGGUACCUAAAGAAGAAUCACCGGCUAACUACGUGCCAGCCGCCGCCGUAACAC
rnacentral:rRNA from 1 species